GGGGUGAAACUGUACGUUAUAUG
rnacentral:ncRNA from 2 species